AAUCUCCUUUUAGUUUCUGAGAUUUUCCUUCUUGGUUGUGCAGGGUCUUCGGAUGGAAGCGAAUGUUCCAGCUCUAUCAAAAACUUCACCUUUAAGUGUUGCUGUGCAUUCUAUCAGGACCAGGUGUGUUCAGCAAGCAAACGUGUUCAAGUAGAAGCUGCACUGCACCUUGUAAACUGCAAAGUGGCUUAUGGUAACUGGAACUUCUAGAUUCAGUAUUCUGUGUACAAAUGAAAAAUCUUGGAUAAUUAAGACUGAAGUCACUGAGAAUUUCAGUAUGCUGACUUUAAAGGUCCUAAGGAAACUCAGCACUUGAAACUGAAUGCAAGACUCCACUGUUAUCCAGUGCACUCACUGAUACCAGCCCCAGAAGAGAUUCCUGAGAAUGCCUAGAAAACCUGACCUUCCUCUCCUGACAGCACAUCAAGAGAAGAUUCACAAGGAUCUGGAAGACUAUCAGUGUCCGCAGGUGCUGUGCAAAGAGCUCUUCUGUUCUCUGCCAGUACACAUCCACCAUCAGACUUGACCACGUUCUAGUUCCACUCUGAUGACCAAACAAGAUUUUGUCUUCAGUUUCUGUAUCAUUCGUAUUUCCCAAGUUGAGAACUGAAUUCCUUAACUGCUUAUUUAUAACAGGAUGGCAAAGUUUUACGUACCAAAAUAUCUGUAGCAUCAUAUUCUAAUUUCUUUAGAAAACACAGUUAAGUAAUUGAUCUUGAACUUGAGAAGCUAUAUUAAAAUUCAAAUAAAUAAGUAUAUUAUCUGGGGAAAAACAAACAAACCCCAAGGAGCUGUCAGCAUAAAUCCACCAGCCUCACCUGGCUGUGAUUUUAACGACACAAACACAACUUUGUUGCUUUGGUUCAUUUCCCUUAAAUUUCAUGAAUUGCCACAGAUCUGUUUAAUCUCUCUUUACAGCUAAUGAUACCAUCUCUACUGUGCCACUUUACUCAGAACAGCAUAAAAUAUACCAAUGGUUCUUCAAUCUUUGUCAUUCACUGUUUUCUCUCCAUCAUGUAAUUACCGUCUCAGUUUGCUCUCUCAACAUAAAGCAAUACAUGUCUGAACAACAAAACAGAAGGCUAUGAUGAACACCAGUGCCUUGGAGGCAACCUGCUUGCACAAGCCAAAGGCACCAGCAUUUCAGUAAACGUGUGAAAGUAAGAUGUCAUCCAGGUUAGGAAGCAGAAGUGCAUGACAGCAAGCUGUUGCAACUCCAGUGUAAAAGAAGGCGUGUACCCAUUUUCCCUCAAAGCAAGCAAAUAAACCAUGGAAUCAGCAGCAGCAUUCAGAAUGCUCUUGGCUUUGCAGGGAGAUUGAUUUACAGCAACCACCACCACCUCACUUUCUGCCCAAAGCUCCUCCAUACACUGCAGUUGCUGGAAGUAACACUUGAAAUUGCUGUCAGGGAAGGACUGGAGAAAAGCUGAGUUUGUUUAUUUGGGGCCAUUAACUGUAUUUUACGUCUAGACGUUUCAAUUUCCCCUGAUCACAGGAAACCUGCUAUUCCUGAAAGUAACAGUGAAGGGAUUUCUGUUUUUAUUUUUUUUAAAGAAGGCACGCUGGGAAAGCUACAGUAAAUCAGGGUAGGAGCGCACAGUUCAAAAUGCAGGGCACAGGAUCAAAACCAGAAUAAAAACAGCUACUUUAUAAACUAACAGCAUCACUGCUAAGCUGGGAAGCAGUACGUGUAACCUUUCAUCUCUCAGUCAGAAUUUCUGAUGCAGCUACAUCACGUGACAGUCUUACUGGCUUUCUUACCUGCUUAGCCAUCAGUGUAAAUCUGUGCCAUGUCACAACGUCAUCAUUAUUAAAGGAUAUGGCAAAGAGAACAAGAACCAGAGAAAAGCAAACACUGAACUCUAGUCUUAAGAGCACCAAAGAACUCCUUAGUCUUUACAGUCAAAAACCAUAUUUUAGUGUUAAAAGAAUUUCAGGUUCUCACGUUGUCGAAAUGGCUUCUUCCACCUAUGCAGAAGCCUCAAUGACAGAACAGCGAGUGCCUGGAAUGCAGUGGACAAACACUACCAGACAGUUUUGUGCUUUACUGAGACAAAAUCUGAGAGUUAAAUUUAGACUGAUGACUUCUGCAGGCACUCAGAUGUUUCUGCUUUAAGUUUUCUAGAAAUUGCAAAUGAGAACUUGGCAGAGUUUAAAUUGACCCAGCAUGUUUCUUUUGGAAUCCAAAUCAUAUUCUGUCCUAUUACUCUGCAAAACUGUUAAGAAAAAAAAGUCAUGCUUUUCAACACAUGGCUUCAGACAACUGACAGAGACAUUCGAUUUAUUUUUGUGCUGAAAAAAAAAACCACAGGUACCAUUUUUUUCUUCUUCAAAAGUCACUACGAAAAUUAAUAGAGGAAUCAAAGUUAGCUCCAUGGCAGCAUAAGCACAGUUUGCUGAACAACACUACUUACGUAACUGCAUUAAUUCAAAUAUGGCUACAGUAAUUUCUUUCCAUUUACCAUGGGAAAAUACAUUGCACUUGGAGACUCUGAUCUCAUUCUUAAAUACUAGACACUUAGCAGAGCAUGCAGGUGUCACCAAGCUGUUUUGUGGAUGCAGCUGGUAAUCCUUGCAAACUUAUUUGCAAUCUUUGAAUGGCAGCAGAGACACUGUGUUGUUUUCUGUUUGUUUGUUUUGCAAUACCAUGAACAGCUGAUUGAAUGAAAACGCUCAGAGGUUACAAACUGAAGAAAUAUAGGUCGUUACUUCUCCAUCUGCUGGUAAACAGACAGCACUACCCAGUGUCCCCCUGCUAACCUACAGGAUAUUGUAAUACUCAGAGCAGCUUAACAGCAAACACUAACAUGUAAUAAGCUCUUCCCUUUUGUUUGCAGUGUGAAGUAGCACAGUGCUAUCAGACUGAGCCGUACGCACAAGAGUUUCACAGCACUUUCACAAACAUUACUUUUCUAAUCCCUACAGUAGGAAUAAAUCUGAUAGUUUCCAUGUAGAAGAGACCCUAUCCA